rnacentral:rRNA from 1 species
AGGUCACGUCAAGACUCACGGUUAUUAACCGUAGGCUUUUCUUCUCUACUGAAAGUGCUUUACAACCCGCAGGCCUUCUUCACACACGCGGCAUUGCUGGAUCAGGCUUGCGCCCAUUGUCCAAUAUUCCCCA